rnacentral:lncRNA from 1 species
AUGGGUUUUGCUGCCUGCCUGUUCCCACCUAGAUGUGAUGCCCCAGACUUGCUGCUUGGCCUGGCCUUCAAACACCACAAGAAACCACAUUAUGCAUGUACAUGCAGGUAUGCACAUGUGUAUGUAUACUCAUUAAUGAGUAUGCAUACAUCUGUACAUGUUCUUGCAUGCAAAAGUGCACAUUUUCUGUUGUGUAGCAUGUGUGUACUGGUGUGUAUGUGCACACAUAUGGCCAUGUGUCCAUCAACGUUUCCUCUUUCACUACUUCAGGACACUAGUCAGUAAAGUGUCAGUCACCAACACUUUGAAAUUCACAACCAACCAUUUGACUGAUUAAAUGGUUGUUAAAUGAUUAAUUGUGUGGUUUUGUUUCAUGUCACCUGGGGCAGAGCAUCCUUCUAAGGCAAUGCAUGAAAAUCCAGGUAUCUGUAUCCAAUGAUUCUACAGUAAAACUUGGCUUGUUUGACAGUUUGUCUGCCCAAGUCCAUGCACAGUGCCAUUGUAUCAUUUCCUUAAAACUGAGUCCUCAGAUCUAAGGACAGUUUCUCUUGCUGAAGAAAUAAUGCUUUACAAACUCAGCAUUUAUCUCGUAAAAAUGCUAAGAUAUGUUUGUCUAAUUUUGGAAUUCUAAUAAACUCCUGGCAGGAAAUAGAAUAAGACCCACUUGAAGAAAGGCCAAGACCUGCCUUGUUUUCCAGGUAACACAAAAUAUCAGCUUUGAACAACUGCCUUAAAGCUUCAGGAACGUAGAGAAAUAUGAAUGAAAGCUGCUGAAUUGGAGUGCAGAGUAGGGUGGUACCAGGAAACUGUCUAUUCAGGAGGGAUGGUUGGCAGCUCUAUGCCAGGUUCCCUGAGAACUGAUCUUUAUAAGAAUCUGACUUUAGCAAUAGUGGGAUUUUAUUUCCUCUAUUAACCUUUAAAAAUGAAACCUUGCUACUCUACAUCUCAUAUCUGCCUCUGUAAAAGUGAAGCUAACAAUAUUUGUGGACUUGGGAGUUAGGAACAUCAAAUCUUGAAACACUUCACCUAGUUUGUUGGGCUUGAGGAAGAGGCUAAUUUGCCCAUGGUCCCUGCCUGGAACAAUGCAGGUUACCCCUGCUGCUCUGGCCAGACAAUAUGCAUAAUUUGCCUGCCCUGGCCACUGGUUUUCCCCACCCCAGUCCUCUCUGCAAAAUUUCUGUUCCAAGAAAUGUCUGAAGCUUUAGAGAGGCCACUGACUUUGAUAGAGAUUUUGAAAAACUCAUGCAGCAUCUAAGAUUUUGAGUUGUGCGAAAUUCAUAAGACUAAAUGCCUCAGAAAACACAAAGGUCCAAGGAGGAUUGACUUGGUACAUUUAUGCCACCCAGAGGUUCAUUCCACAUAGGCUGCCUCUGCAAGGAGCCAUCCUGUGCUCACCCCCCCCCCCACCAAGCUGGAGACUGGCCUAUAACCACCUAUGAGGGCUCUGUUCUCAGUUGGGAACACCUGGCAAUGUGAUAUACUUGGAUUUUGACAAAUAGGAAAAAGUAUCUUGAGUCUCUUUCUGCUGUGAUUUGUAAUAUUUCUGCUUAGGUUGAUGGUCAACAGACUGCUAACCUGGAUCAGGAGGAUUGGGCUGAAUGACCCAACAGUGGGACCAGUGAGUCAGGCUAAACCCCCUUUCUGAACUUGCCCCAAGAGAACAAAGGCCUGAUAUAGGUGAGAACCAAGUAAACUAGCCAUGAGUAAUUGCUUUUCCUCUGGUGGGUUCAGUAUAGUCAUCAGGACUGAACCUGUUGACUCCUUGAUCAGAUCCUCAAACUUCAAAGAAAUUGGCUAAGCAUCAGUAGGCCUAGUUCUUACCGCCACAGACCAACACAUGGCUGGUGGCAGGCCUCACCAUUCUUCAUGGAAAUACGGUGGGACUCCUCCUUCUCUAGUGGCCUUGACAUAGAGGGCAGCCCAGCCAAGUCCCAGCUGGGACCAGAAGGCCACAAUCACUAGGGGUGCAGGGGAGCUCUGGGCAGGACAUCUGGGAGCUGAGGAAAGGCCCUAUCAUGUGGUCUGCAACUGGGAACUGUGCCUUAGCCAUUCCCUGGUGGCUUUAUCACAGUCAGAACUAGCCUUCCAUACACUGAAGACUCUACCCAGGAUUUCCAUGUCUCCUCUGGCCUGAAGUGCUUGGUACUGGUGUUCAUGUAACAGAGAAACCGCUCCCCUCUAGCAUAGGCAAGAGGCAUAUCUUUUGGGCCAGAGCACUGCUCCCAGCUGGUCUGCCAGUGGUACCUACCUGGUACCACUAUUCCAGGCACACUGAGAUCAGAUCAUCUUUUUCCAAGACUUCAAGCCUGCCUGGCUCCCAGCCAGCCCACCAAAAGGAUGUAGACACACCAGUCGUGGAACUAAUUUCAUAUUGUGUAUAAAUGGUCACGUGCAUAUCCUAGUCACUUAAAAGUAUAUCCUUCACAUUCAUUAAGGCUAUUUAAGUGGUAUAUAUUAAACGAAAUGCUAUAUACUCAAAAAUACUAGAUUAGUCAGUUAACAGGAAAACUACCCUUACAGAAAAGCUAGGACUGUGAUUUUCCAAAAUAGGAUUAGACUGUUCAUAUGAAUUAACCAAAAAUAAAACCUACUGCUUUGCAGUAGAAACCACACAGCCAGUUUCCAAAAAUAGAAAUGCAGGGGUCUGGCAUCAGUGUCUGCAAACACAGCAUUCAGCUCAGAGACAGGUUGGACCUAGCUGACCAACUAGCAGAACACAACUGUUCUAACAAAGCAUUUGUCCAACCCAAUUCAGCCACCACCCCCCAUGUUGAUUUGAGUAUAGACAUCCUAAUUCCAAGCUGAUGAACAUUCUCCAAUAACUUAGCAACCAGUUUAAUAAAGGAACUCACCAAUGUCAAAUUGCAAUAAAUUUACCAAACAUUUUUCACUGUUUAUGGAGAGCUUUACAGUAAGAAAGUGUCGACAGAAGCAGGCACAUCCGGGUACAAAGUGUUUCUGUUGGUGGUUUUUCACUUCUGUUCCUACAGCUCCAACUGCUUUGUCUGUUCUCUCAGCCGAGGUCCUCCACUCAAAAUCACUUUCACUAGGUGUUCUGUUCUUGCCCCUUUGACCCAGGACCUCUGAAGGCAGUCCCAGGGUCCCAGGGUACAGACUUGCCUAAGAGAAGUGUGAUUGGCGAUCCCACCCCAAACAUUUAUUGUAAACUUUAAAUGGAGUCCGGAUACGAAUGACACAGAGAGGAGACACCUCCUCACACAGAAAGGAAAAUACCAGAGCGUCCUAAGGUCUCUCAGCCCUCACAGGGCCGCCCCAGAGAGUGCGGAGCCCCGCGCAGGCGCAGCCCCAGCAAAGCGGGACUGGGGCCUUUUCGGGUGUCCCACGUGGGUCAGGUCUGGUCUCAGCAGGCCGGGUUAGGGCCCCAGGGGCUCGAUGCCUCGCAGGGCGGCCGGCAGCAAUAGGGGUAGGAGGCGUUGAGAUCGGGGUCCGAGGGCGAGUACCCUGGCAGCUCCACGGAUGGAUGUCCGCCGCAGCACACCUCCACCCCCGCCUCAUCAAACGCGUGGAAGACGCCCACGUUGAUGUAGGACACCGCGUGGUGCGCCGCGAAGCCUGCGCAGUCCCCUGGGGCCGCAAAGUCGGACUCCUCUGGGGACAGGAUGGAGGCCUCGCUGGGCCGUGGCUGCAGCCGCCGCCCCCUCUUGCCCCUCCGGCCGCGCCGGGCCCGGGAGGCUAGCGGCUGAGUGCGAAGCCCAGGGCCGCCCCGCGGCCGUGCCAAAGCCCGGCUUGCCCUCCGUCGGCCGCGCCGGCCACGCCGGGCCUGCGAAGACUUGUAGUUCUUGACCAGCAGGAGGCUGAGCAGGCCCAGCAGGCACUCGAGCGAGUUGAAGACGGUGGAGAGCACCAGGCCUCGCUGGUAGUCCUUCAGCUGGCGGCACUUGGCGGACGUGGCGCUGUCCAGGGUGCUGCGGGCGCGCGGCACGGCGGGGCCCGGAGCUGCAGGGCCGGGGGCUGGGCCGGGGGCGGCGGCCGGUGCGCGCGGGGGCAGACAGUAGUGGGAGUACUUGCGUU